GACGAACGCUGGCGGUAUGCUUAACACAUGCAAGUCGAACGAGAAGUUUCUUAUUGAACCUUCGGGGGAUAUAAGAGACAGACAGUGGCGAACGGGUGAGUAACGCGUGGGCAACCUACCUAUCGGAGCGGGAUAGCCUCGAGAAAUCGGGAGUAAAACCGCAUAACAGGAUAUAUCGCAUGAUGAAUCCGUCAAAACUCCGGUGCCGAUAGAUGGGCCCGCGUCUGAUUAGCUAGUUGGUAAGGUAAGGGCUUACCAAGGCAACGAUCAGUAGCCGGUCUGAGAGGGCGAACGGCCACACUGGAACUGAGACACGGUCCAGACUCCUACGGGAGGCAGCAGUGGGGAAUACUGCGCAAUGGGGGCAACCCUGACGGAGCAAUACCGCGUGAGUGAAGAAGGUUUUCGGAUCGUAAAGCUCUGUUAUUGGGGAAGAAG
rnacentral:rRNA from 1 species